rnacentral:rRNA from 1 species
AUGGUUUCGUCAAUGAAGCAUCACAGAGAUGAGGCCGGCGCUUCCUCGUCCCUCUCCCUCUCGCUGGCCCUCGGCGCCGUGGCCGACCGAAGCAAGAAGAUGCGCCGCGGCGGCGUGGACGGCGAGUUCGUGUGCAAGACGUGCGGCCGCUCGUUUCCGUCAUUCCAGGCUCUGGGCGGGCACCGGACAAGCCACCUGCGCGGCCGCCACGGGCUCGCGCUCGGCCUCGCUGCCGGGUCCGAUAAGCCGGCGACCAAGAAGACCACGGACCAGAAGCAGGCGCACCAGUGCCACAUCUGCGGGCUCGAGUUCGAGAUGGGGCAGGCGCUUGGCGGCCACAUGCGCCGGCACCGUGACGAGGCGGUCGCCACCACGGCGCAGGCACCCCCCGUUCUGCUCCAGCUCUUCGUCUAG